rnacentral:siRNA from 1 species
AAGAGUAUCUCCCUAACACCUGAA